GUUUGAAUGACACCAGCACACACCGUGGGCGCUGGAGAAGACCAGAUGAGGUGAUCCGCGGGUGUGGGCUCCUGGAGGGACCAGGCCUGCUUCCGUCCCAACACUGCUCCUGUCACAGAGAAAGGACCAGAAUAAGACUGACUCUAUCCCCUGUCCCCAUCGCUGGGCAUCUGAUCUUCUCCGCGCCCAGUCCAAGGAUCGUCUGCAUGCCUUCCCUUCUCCCUCUCCCUCUCUGAAGGGAGCGAAGCAGCUCAAAUUCGGUUACCCUAAUGGGUCCAAAUGAAAAGGCGUGUGUCACAGCUGAUGAGUCGUCUGAGAGCUUGGUCAGUGGAGGCCGCCAUCUUCCUGCCUGUGCACAGCAGCUGCACAUGUGCCCAGGUCUCCCAGGAGACCUGGGACGCUCCCCCAGCUGGGGAGAGCCCCCACCCCUGCACUACGAUGGGCCCCGGCUCCCUGCUCUGGCCCUGAACUCAUACCAGGGGAAAACCCAAAGCAGGGACACAGCUGGCUUGAGUGAUGCUGAGCACCCCGUCAUGGGAGACAUUCGAGAAGAAGCUGGAUGACUAGAGCAGAGAGGAAGGGGAGGGUGGGAGGUCGAAGGUUAGGGCUCUGCAUUCGUGUCUCAGUGCCCACCCUGAGCCAGGCUGGACACACAGCUGAGGCCUCUGAAGAGUUUGGGACCAUGAGGAGUGAGGCUUACCAGGGGCAUGUGGAGAAGGCCUACGCAGUGCCUGAGGAUGAGGCAGUGCUUCCUACAGGGGCUUGAGAAAGGGCAUGGCUGGAGCUCAGGCCUCCUGAGCCGGAGAGGGACUCGGGAUUUGCUGGGGAGCUGCAGCUCGGUCUUCCCUGAACCCCAGCCUCCUCUGGCUGCAGCAUGAAGAGGGAUUAGGGGUAGGGAUAAGAAUCAAAAGGCAGCCGGGGGGAAAUCUAAGUUUGGGGUCAGGAUGGCUUCAGAGCAGCUCUCAUCCGCCCUGUCAACUUCCCUGUGUGCGGGCUCAUUCCUGGCCACCCCCAGCCAAGCUGGCCCGCCAACCCCACAACACCCCACAGCUAUUUCUCUUUAUAGACUCCUCUUCCUCAGUCCCUGUAGAAACGAAUCUGGCAUAAAAGAAGUCUCGCCAAGGUCUCCAGCAACCUCUGUGUUGCCAAACCUACUCUAUUCUCCAGCAGCCCUGUACUGCUUUCUUCUGGUGCCUUCUGGGGGCCCCCACCCCAUCAGUCCUCCCCACGUGUCCUCCCCACCUGUCCUCUCCACCCGUCUCCCCCUCCGUCCUCCCCACCUGUC
rnacentral:lncRNA from 1 species